rnacentral:sRNA from 1 species
AGGCAACUGGAUCCAUACCCCUAAACUCCCUGUAUUGGCCAGCCGAAUCGGAUUCGGCUGGUCCUUUUUU